ACAAGGUUGCAAAAUAUUUAAGAGUAAAAUGAGUUCAAUUUACUGUUAAAAUCCAAAGUGACUCGGUAAAAAUCCUAGGAUUUUUCAAAAUAAACUGCACACUGCUAGAAAACAAAGAAAUAGUCGUGUCAACGUCAAAUACGUUAGUAAAGUAAUACAAAUAAGACAGGAAAUACUAAAAAUUGACGACAAGGGGGCAGAC
rnacentral:lncRNA from 1 species